UUGAACGCUGGCGGCAUGCCUUACACAUGCAAGUCGAACGGCAGCACGGGAGCAAGUCCUGGUGGCGAGUGGCGAACGGGUGAGUAAUAUAUCGGAACGUGCCCAGUCGUGGGGGAUAACGUAGCGAAAGCUACGCUAAUACCGCAUACGAUCUAUGGAUGAAAGCGGGGGAUCGCAAGACCUCGCGCGAUUGGAGCGGCCGAUAUCAGAUUAGGUAGUUGGUGAGGUAAAGGCUCACCAAGCCGACGAUCUGUAGCUGGUCUGAGAGGACGACCAGCCACACUGGGACUGAGACACGGCCCCAGACUCCUACGGGAGGCAGCAGUGGGGAAUUUUGGACAAUGGGCGCAAGCCUGAUCCAGCAAUGCCGCGUGCAGGAUGAAGGCCUUCGGGUUGUAAACUGCUUUUGUACGGAACGAAACGGUGAGCUCUAAUACAGUUUGCUAAUGACGGUACCGUAAGAAUAAGCACCGGCUAACUACGUG
rnacentral:rRNA from 1 species